GCGACGCCGCGUGCGGGAUGAAGGCCUUCGGGUUGUAAACCGCUUUCAGUAGGGAAGAAGCGAAAGUGACGGUAUCUACAAAAGAAGCACCGGCUAACUAUGUGCCAGCAGCCGCGGUAAUACAUAGGGUGCAAGCGUUGUCCGGAAUUAUUGGGCGUAAAGAGCUCGUAGGUCGUUUGUUACGUCGGAUGUGAAAACCUGAGGCUCAACCUCAGGCCUGCAUUCGAUACGGGCAAACUAGAGUUUGGUAGGGGAGACUGGAAUUCCUGGUGUAGCGGUGGAAUGCGCAGAUAUCAGGAGGAACACCAAUGGCGAAGGCAGGUCUCUGGGCCAAUACUGACACUGAGGAGCGAAAGUCUGGGGAGCGAACAGGAUUAGAUACCCUGGUAGUCCAGACCGUAAACGGUGGGCACUAGUUGUGGGAACCUUCCACGGUUUCUGCGACGCAGCUAACGCAUUAAGUGCCCCGCCUGGGGAGUACGAUCGCAAGAUUA
rnacentral:rRNA from 1 species